rnacentral:rRNA from 1 species
CUAGGAUUACAGAAUUUCACCUCUACCCCAGGAGUACCUCUAGCCUCUCCCGGUCCCAAGUUGAACAGUCUACCCGGAAUUCGUACGGUUAAGCCGUACGAUUUACCCAGGCAUUUAUAGAACCGGCUACGGACGUUUUAGGCCCAAUAAUAACGGCCACCACUUGGGCUGCAGGUAUUACCGC